ACGGGAGGCAGCAGUGGGGGAUAUUGCACAAUGGAGGAAACUCUGAUGCAGCAACGCCGCGUGAAGGAAGAAGGCCUUCGGGUUGUAAACUUCUGUCCUUGGUGACGAUAAUGACGGUAGCCAAGGAGGAAGCCACGGCUAACUACGUGCCAGCAGCCGCGGUAAUACGUAGGUUGCAAGCGUUGUCCGGAUUUACUGGGUGUAAAGGGCGUGUAGGCGGAGCUGCAAGUCAGAUGUGAAAUCCCGGGGCUCAACCCCGGAACUGCAUUUGAAACUGUAGCCCUUGAGUAUCGGAGAGGCAAGCGGAAUUCCUAGUGUAGCGGUGAAAUGCGUAGAUAUUAGGAGGAACACCAGUGGCGAAGGCGGCUUGCUGGACGACAACUGACGCUGAGGCGCGAAAGCGUGGGGAGCAAACAGGAUUAGAUACCCUGGUA
rnacentral:rRNA from 1 species